UACACUCCUACGGGAGGCAGCAGUGGGGAAUUUUGGACAAUGGGGGCAACCCUGAUCCAGCAAUGCCGCGUGAGUGAAGAAGGCCUUCGGGUUGUAAAGCUCUUUUGUCAGGGAAGAAACGGUAGUAGCGAAUAACUAUUACUAAUGACGGUACCUGAAGAAUAAGCACCGGCUAACUACGUGCCAGCAGCCGCGGUAAUACGUAGGGUGCAAGCGUUAAUCGGAAUUACUGGGCGUAAAGCGUGCGCAGGCGGUUGUGUAAGUCAGAUGUGAAAUCCCCGGGCUCAACCUGGGAAUUGCAUUUGAGACUGCACGGCUAGAGUGUGGCAGAGGGGGGUAGAAUUCCACGUGUAGCAGUGAAAUGCGUAGAUAUGUGGAGGAAUACCGAUGGCGAAGGCAGCCCCCUGGGAUAACACUGACGCUCAUGCACGAAAGCGUGGGGAGCAAACAGGAUUAGAUACCCUUGUAGUCCCAUG
rnacentral:rRNA from 1 species